GAUGAAUAACGCAGCGAAAUGCGAUAAGUAAUGUGAAUUGCAGAAUUCAGUGAAUCAUCGAAUCUUUGAACGCACAUUGCGCCCGCCAGUAUUCUGGCGGGCAUGCCUGUUCGAGCGUCAUUUCAACCAUCAAGCCCCCGGCUUGUGUUGGGGACCUGCGGCUGCCGCAGGCCCUGAAAAGCAGUGGCGGGCUCGCUGUCACACCGAGCGUAGUAGCAUACAUCUCGCUCUGGGCGUGCUGCGGGUUCCGGCCGUUAAACCACCUUCAUAACCCAAGGUUGACCUCGGAUCAGGUAGGAAGACCCGCUGAACUUAAGCAUAUCAAUAAGCGGAGGA
rnacentral:misc_RNA from 1 species